rnacentral:misc_RNA from 1 species
GAUGAAGAACGCAGCGAAAUGCGAUAAGUAGUGUGAAUUGCAGAAUUCAGUGAAUCAUCGAAUCUUUGAACGCACAUUGCGCCCCUUGGUAUCCCGAGGGGCAUGCCUGUUCGAGCGUCAUUUCACCACUCAAGCCUGGCUUGGUGUUGGGCGACGUCCCCUUUGGGGACGCGCCUCGAAACGCUCGGCGGCGUGGCACCGGCUUUAAGCGUAGCAGAAUCUUUCGCUUUGGAAGUCGGGGCCCCGUCUGCCGGAAGACUUACUCGCAAGGUUGACCUCGGAUCAGGCAGGGAUACCCGCUGAACUUAAGCAUAUCAAUAAGCGGAGGA